GGAGGGUGCAAGCGUUAAUCGGAAUUACUGGGCGUAAAGCGCACGCAGGCGGUUGGAUAAGUUAGAUGUGAAAGCCCCGGGCUCAACCUGGGAAUUGCAUUUAAAACUGUCCAGCUAGAGUCUUGUAGAGGGGGGCAGAAUUCCAGGUGUAGCGGUGAAAUGCGUAGAGAUCUGGAGGAAUACCGGUGGCGAAGGCGGCCCCCUGGACAAAGACUGACGCUCAGGUACGAAAGCGUGGGGAGCAAACAGGAUUAGAUACCCUGGUAGUCCACGCCGUAAACGAUGUCGAUUUGGAGGCUGUGUCCUUGAGACGUGGCUUCCGGAGCUAACGCGUUAAAUCGACCGCCUGGGGAGUACGGCCGCAAGGUUA
rnacentral:rRNA from 1 species